UGGGGAAUUUUGCACAAUGGGCGCAAGCCUGAUGCAGCGACGCCGCGUGAGGGAUGAAGGCCUUCGGGUUGUAAACCUUUUUCGCUCAUGGUCAAGCCGUAGCUUUGGGUUGUGGUGAGGGUAGUGGGUAAAGAAGCGCCGGCUAACUACGUGCCAGCAGCCGCGGUAAUACGUAGGGCGCGAGCGUUGUCCGGAAUUAUUGGGCGUAAAGGGCUUGUAGGCGGUUGGCCGCGUCUGCCGUGAAAUCCUCUGGCUUAACUGGGGGCGUGCGGUGGGUACGGGUUGACUUGAGUGCGGUAGGGGAGACUGGAAUUCCUUGUGUAGCGGUGGAAUGCGCAGAUAUCAGGAGGAACACCGGUGGCGAAGGCGGGUCUCUGGGCCGUUACUGACGCUGAGGAGCGAAAGCGUGGGGAGCGAACAGG
rnacentral:rRNA from 1 species